rnacentral:rRNA from 1 species
UACGUAGGGGGCUAGCGUUGUCCGGAUUUAUUGGGCGUAAAGAGCGUGUAGGCGGCCAGAUAGGUCUGCUGUGAAAACUCGAGGCUCAACCUCGAGCUGUCGGCGGAAACCAUUUGGCUAGAGUCCGGAAGAGGAGAGUGGAAUUCCUGGUGUAGCGGUGAAAUGCGCAGAUAUCAGGAGGAACACCAAUGGCGAAGGCAGCUCGCUGGGACGGUACUGACGCUGAGGCGCGAAAGCGUGGGGAGCGAACAGG